rnacentral:rRNA from 1 species
GACGAACGCUGGCGGCGUGCUUAACACAUGCAAGUCGAACGGAAAGGCCCUGCUUUUGUGGGGUGCUCGAGUGGCGAACGGGUGAGUAACACGUGAGUAACCUGCCCUUGACUUUGGGAUAACUUCAGGAAACUGGGGCUAAUACCGGAUAGGAGCUCCUGCUGCAUGGUGGGGGUUGGAAAGUUUCGGCGGUUUGGGAUGGACUCGCGGCUUAUCAGCUUGUUGGUGGGGUAGUGGCUUACCAAGGCUUUGACGGGUAGCCGGCCUGAGAGGGUGACCGGCCACCUUGGGACUGAGGUACGGCCCAGACUCCUACGGGAGGCAGCGGUGGGGAAUCUUGCACAAUGGGCGGGAGCCUGAUGCAGCAACGCCGCGUUCGGAAUGACGGCCUUCGGGUUGUAAACCGCUUUCGCCUGUGACGAAGCGUGAGUGACGGUAAUGGGUAAAGAAGCACCGGCUAACUACGUG